ACCGCUAUCCGCCGGNNACUANNAGNAUNNGCUUAAAACCCAAAGGACUUGGCGGUGCUUUAAACCCACCUAGAGGAGCCUGUUCUAGAAUCGAUAACCCCCGUUGAACCUCACCCCCCCUUGUUUUUUCCGCCUAUAUACCGCCGUCGUCAGCUUACCCUGUGAAGGGAAGAUAGUAAGCAAAGUUGAUACAGUCUAAAACGUCAGGUCAAGGUGUAGCAUACGGGGCGGGAANAAAUGGGCUACAUUCCCUGCCUUAGGGAAUACGAAAGAUGAAAUGANAUUUUCGUCCGANGGAGAUUUAGCAGUAAGUAGAANGCAGAGAGUUCA
rnacentral:rRNA from 1 species